ACACUGCCUCUGGGAAAUCAGUAGUGACCAUCACUGCUGGCCAGCGCUGGCCAGCACUCCUGUUGAUCAGUGGUGAUGAACACUCCUGGUGACCGGUGGUGACCAUCACUACUGGUCAUUGCUGUGCAGUUCUGUGGAGAGGUGACAUCUGUACUUACAUCUGUACUUCUGGUGGAUCUGAGGAUUGACUUCUGUGAAUUGCAUCACCUGGGGCUCUUGUAUGGGCAGAAAUCAGGCAACAGGAAGGUGAUGAAGUUUCAGUUCUGGGACAAGUCCUUAAGAGACCCGGCAACAUGCACUGAAAUUUCCUAGGAUCCAACCAUCUAUUAAAAUCAAACGAAAACCCACAUGGAGAGAAGAGAGACAAGCCAAUCUGCCCCUCACUAUCCCAGCCGCCUCAGCGGAGGUACUAGACAAGGGAGGGAACUCUCAUCCAGUUCCAGUCAACCCCAACUUGAUUUCUUCCAAGAGGAAAUGAGCCAUUUUCGCCAGGCCCUGCUCAAACAAAGAACUGUGUAUGGCUCAUUUCAUCUGAUUAGGCUGAAUAUUUGAAGGAGAAAACCAACCAACCAACCAUGGGAAUAGCUCCUGCCCCCAGGACCUGUACCUCCUGACCCCCAGUCCCAGUACUCUUGAAAGUGUCACUCUGAGGAUCAUAAGUCACAUUGGCCAAGAAGAAACAAGACUGAAAAUAGGAGAGAAGUUAAAAGGGACUUUGAUACAAGGUAUGAGAGCAUAGGUUUUUCCAAAAGUACUUUGAAAUUAAGGCAACAU